rnacentral:rRNA from 1 species
CCCUUAGAUGUCCUGGGCUGCACGCGCGCUACACUGAUGUGUCCAGUAAGCACCUAACCUCUUCCGAAAGGAACGGGUAACCUUUGCAAAGCACAUCGUGAUGGGGAUAGAUUAUUGCAAUUAUUAGUCUUGAACGAGGAAUUCCUAGUAAGCACAAGUCAUCAGCUUGUGUUGAUUACGUCCCUGCCCUUUGUACACACCGCCCGUCGCUACUACCGAUUGAACGUUUUAGUGAGGUAUUUGGAUCGGACCUGAAGGGGUUCACGCCCUUUCUGUGUCUGAGAAGACUCCCAAACUUGAGCGUUUAGAGGAAGUAAAAGUCGUAACA